CCUACGGGGGGCUGCAGUCGAGAAUCUUUCGCAAUGCCCGGAAGGGUGACGAAGCGACGCCGCGUGUGGGAAGAAGGCCUUCGGGUUGUAAACCACUGUCGGGAGUUAAGAAGUGUAAGGGGGUGAAUAGUCCUCUUACUUGACGUUAGCUCCGGAGGAAGCCACGGCUAACUCUGUGCCAGCAGCCGCGGUAAUACAGAGGUGGCAAGCGUUGUUCGGAAUUAUUGGGCGUAAAGAGCACGUAGGCGGCCCUACAAGUCAGCUGUGAAAUCCUUCUGCUCAACGGAAGAACGGCAGUUGAUACUAUAGGGCUUGAGUGCGGGAGGGGAGAGUGGAACUUCUGGUGGAGCGGUGAAAUGCGUAGAUAUCAGAAGGAACAUCGGCGGCGAAAGCGACUCUCUGGCCCGUAACUGACGCUGAGGUGCGAAAGCUAGGGGAG
rnacentral:rRNA from 1 species